rnacentral:misc_RNA from 1 species
GAUGAAGAACGCAGCGAAAUGCGAUACGUAAUGUGAAUUGCAGAAUUCAGUGAAUCAUCGAGUCUUUGAACGCACAUUGCGCCCCCUGGUAUUCCGGGGGGCAUGCCUGUCCGAGCGUCAUUGCUGCCCUCAAGCACGGCUUGUGUGUUGGGCCUCCGUCCUCCUCCCGGGGGACGGGCCCGAAAGGCAGCGGCGGCACCGCGUCCGGUCCUCGAGCGUAUGGGGCUUCGUCACCCGCUCUUGUAGGCCCGGCCGGCGCUUGCCGACACAUCAAUCUUUUUUCCAGGUUGACCUCGGAUCAGGUAGGGAUACCCGCUGAACUUAAGCAUAUCAAUAAGCGGAGGGA